rnacentral:rRNA from 1 species
AUUGAACGCUGGCGGCAGGCCUAACACAUGCAAGUCGAACGGUAACAGGAAGAAGCUUGCUUCUUUGCUGACGAGUGGCGGACGGGUGAGUAAUGUCUGGGAAACUGCCUGAUGGAGGGGGAUAACUACUGGAAACGGUAGCUAAUACCGCAUAACGUCGCAAGACCAAAGAGGGGGACCUUCGGGCCUCUUGCCAUCGGAUGUGCCCAGAUGGGAUUAGCUAGUAGGUGGGGUAACGGCUCACCUAGGCGACGAUCCCUAGCUGGUCUGAGAGGAUGACCAGCCACACUGGAACGGAGACACGGUCCAGACUCCAACGGGAGGCAGCGGCGGGGAAUAUUGCACAAUGGGCGCAAGCCUGAUGCAGCCAUGCCGCGUGUAUGAAGAAGGCCUUCGGGUUGUAAAGUACUUUCAGCGGGGAGGAAGGGAGUAAAGUUAAUACCUUGGCUCAUUGACGUUACCCGCAGAAGAAGCACCGGCUAACUCCGUG